rnacentral:lncRNA from 1 species
GGUUUGUUUGGAUUUGGUUUCGUGGUGCUACUUCUUUGGUGGUUCCUAUCUGUUGAUUUUGAUAUGGUUGUUGCUCCUUGGUUUGUUUGGAUUUGGUUUCGUGGUGCUACUUCUUUGGUUGUUCCUAUCAGUUGAUUUUGAUAUGGUUGUUGCUCCUUUUUUGAUCGCUUCUUUUUCGGUUUGAUUUUUUUGUUGGCUUGGUUCUUCUCUUUGAUUGUUGCUUCUUCUUUGGUGACAUCCCUCUUGUCCCCCCGGCUGUCCAACCACCUCCUGCGAUUGUUGAUCCUCCUCGUUACCCCUCUCGUCAUCAUCUUCAGCAUAGAAUCAUUAUUCUACUGUUUGUCUCUUCUUCUUUACAGAUUGCUGAUUUGUUCACAAAGAUGCAUUCCAUUAAACGUUUUCGUUUUUUUUUAGUUGACAAACUCUCGAUGCUCCAUGUUAAUGCAUCGUGAGUUUGAGGGGAGAUGUUAGAUAAUAUUAUUAUAUAUUAGUAGUAAGGGUAUUUUAGAC